GUCCUCCUGCCAUUCGGAGCUCCCCUAUUGGUGAACGCGGAAGUUGGGCCAUGAGGUUCUGAAGUUCCUGCCCCUCCCCUCUCUCAAUGAAGAUUGAGCUUCACUCAGACUGCAGCUUCCUUCCUCUGUCCAACAUCUGGCCACCAGAAGCCUUCUCAGUACUCUACAAGUGACUUCACCAACAUCCUGUACACCUUCAACAUGAUGUCCCAACUCCUUUAUUCAAUGGUGUGAACAAUUAAGCUACCCGAUGAAGGAGCAGCGCACCGAAAGCUAGUGCUUCCAAAUAAAUCUGUUGGACUAUAA